GGGCGGACGUAGCCAAG
rnacentral:tRNA from 1 species